GCCAGGCGUGGUGGUGCACGCCUGUAGUCCCAGCUACUUGGGAGGCUGAGGCAGGAGAAUUGCUUGAACUUGGGAGGCAGAGACUGCAGUGAGCCAAGAUUGCACCACUGCACUCCAGCCUGGGCAACAGAGCAAGACUCUGUCUCAA
ensembl:misc_RNA Metazoa_SRP Metazoan signal recognition particle RNA